rnacentral:rRNA from 1 species
UACGUAGGGGGCAAGCGUUGUCCGGAAUCAUUGGGCGUAAAGCGCGUGUAGGCGGCCCGGUAAGUCCGCUGUGAAAGUCGGGGGCUCAACCCUCGAAUGCCGGUGGAUACUGUCGGGCUAGAGUACGGAAGAGGCGAGUGGAAUUCCUGGUGUAGCGGUGAAGUGCGCAGAUAUCAGGAGGAACACCAAUGGCGAAGGCAGCUCGCUGGGACGGUACUGACGCUGAGGCGCGAAAGCGUGGGGAGCAAACAGG